rnacentral:rRNA from 1 species
GACGAACGCUGGCGGCGUGCUUAACACAUGCAAGUCGAACGAUGAAGCCGGAGCUUGCUCUGGUGAAUUAGUGGCGAACGGGUGAGUAACACGUGAGUAACCUGCCCUUGACUCUGGGAUAACUGCUAGAAAUGGUAGCUAAUACCGGAUACGACCCUCGGCGGCAUCGCCAGGGGGUGGAAAGAAUUUCGGUCAAGGAUGGACUCGCGGCCUAUCAGCUAGUUGGUGAGGUAACGGCUCACCAAGGCGACGACGGGUAGCCGGCCUGAGAGGGUGACCGGCCACACUGGGACUGGGACACGGCCCAGACUCCGACGGGAGGCAGCAGUGGGGAAUAUUGCACAAUGGGCGCAAGCCUGAUGCAGCAACGCCGCGUGAGGGAUGACGGCCUUCGGGUUGUAAACCUCUUUUAGUAGGGAAGAAGCGAAAGUGACGGUACCUGCAGAAAAAGCACCGGCUAACUACGUGCCAGCCGCCGCGGUAA